UCCUCCUCCUCCUCCUCCUCCUCCUCCAGACAAGCCCUUAUAAUGCCCAGAAGAUAAAAGCUCUUAGGAGCUGCUGUGUUGCGUUUUGAUAUUUGAACGAAAAUGAUGCUUUGGAGGCUUAAAAAAUGGACUUUCCUUCUGAAGUACCCAGGAGAGUAGGUACAGAAGCUAUCAAGAUACAUAAUUCCAGUUUUAAGGAGCUGUCAUGUUCAUAGCAGCACUACUAACAGUGGACAAAAAGGUGAAUAUGACCCAAAUUCCAUCAGCAGAUGAAUGAAUAAACAAAAGUCUGGCAUAUCCAUACAAUGGGACUUUAUUCAGCCAUAGAAAGGAAUAAGGUGGAUACAUAUGCUACAGCAUGGAUGAACCUCGAAAAUGUUAAGUGAAGGAAGCCAGACACAAAAGGAUGGACUUCUUAUCUCCCUACACUACCCCUUGGAGAAAACCUUUUAUCAAGGAGAUACUGAAUAUCAUCACUGAUGUAAGCAGGGUCUCUUAAGAUCCCAGUGACUGCUGGUCUGGUCUGAAGGGUCCAAGAUGGCUUUGUUCACAUGUCUGUUGCCCUAACAGAGAUGACUAGAAGGCCGAGCUCAGCUGGAACUGUUUACUGAAAUGCCUAUAUCUGGCACUUCUAGCAUAGCAGGAAGAUUUCUUCUUUGGCUCCCAGAGAGUGUUCUAAGACAGCAAAGAGGAAGCUGCAAGACUUCUUCUGUUUUAGUAUUGGAAGUUAUGCAGUGUCACUUCCACUACAUUCUGUAGAAAAGAGAGCCACAAUGCCAACUGAAAUCGAAGAGGAUGGAAUUACACAAGGACAUUUUUACUUGGAAGCAUGUUCAUUAGGGAGCAACUUCUGGAGAUUGCUUUAUACACAUUUGGCUUUUGUCAAACAAAUUCUCACUGUACUUGCUCAUGCCACACAUAUUCCUGCAUCUAGAGCUUUAACUGUGUUGAUCUUCCCAAAACGUUCCUUCCUCCUUUUACUUUCCCAGACCCUACCUGUCCUUCCAGGCUUGUUCAGUUUCAACUUGAGCAUUUACAGUCUUUCUUUGAAUACUCUAGUUCUUAAAACAUCUUCCCCAUUUUUGAAAUACAAUAGCAUUUAUAGUCUGAUGGUAGGAACAGAAAGAAGACUGAGUUGAAGAUAUUUUGGUAAAAUUAACAGGACAAAACGCCUAUUUGGGUAUUGUAGGCUAGCAAUAGGAACCAGUUGGAGAUGAUAUUGUAGCUUUGAGCCUUGAUAGCUGAGAGGAUUGAGUACCAUUCACAGAAUCAUGAAACACCAGAUGGGCAGUGGGUGUGGGGGAAAAUGUUAAUUCCCUUUUGAAAUAUGUUACUUUGAAGGCAUAGUGGAAGAGCCAGGUAAAGGAGUUGUGCAAACAAUAAAGAAAGAGAAAUGGAGGAUUAGAAAGAGAUGAGGAUUAGAGAAGUAGAUCUGGAAGCCUCCAGGCAAGGAGAUGCUAGUUGAGUCUGUGGGAUUGAAUAAGCCUGCCGAGGAGAAUUUGUGGAGAUGGAACAGAAAGUAUCCAAUGACAGACUUGCAGCAGAGAGAAUAUGAUAAUUCAGAGAAGAAAAAAAGAGAGAUAAGAAGAGACCUGGGGGAGUGCCAGGGAGAGCAGAUCUUCAUAAGCCUAAAAAGAAGGGAGCUUCUAGAAGGUGAAAAUGGUCAAGUGUUAAUGCUGAAAAUGUGUUUUAGAAGCAGAGGACUAAAGAAGAUCGUGAUUAUGAGGUCAUUGACUAUGAAUCUGGAAAUUGUUAGGAGGAAACCUGAUUGUAUCCAGUAUAAGUGGCCAUGGGGUUAGGAAGCAGAAAAAGUGAGGCCAGACUGGCCACUUUUUCAAGAAGUUUAGCAGUACAGGAAAAUAGGAUGUCUUCUCUAAUAGAAUUACAAACAGAACUUUUAAUGAUGACUGUUCUUAUUGGAUGGUAGUCAUUAAGGAAAGUAAUGUGCCUUUGCAUGUGUCUCUGUGUUUGCAUGUGUGUGUGUGUUUUCCAUGUGUGUGUAAGUGUAUACUGUGCAGCAAUGUUUUCUAAGCCCAGAUCUGUAUUUAAACCACUGGAGGAGCCAAUUACACUUUCUAAGGCCCAAAACCAGACUUACUGAGUACGACUUUUUUAUUAUUUAUUUAUUUUUGAGACAGGGUCUCACUCUGUCACCUAGACUGGCAUGCAGUGGUACAAUCUUGGCUCACUGCAACUUCUACUUCCUGGGUUCAAGUGAUUCUCUUGCCUCAGCCACCUGAGUAUCUGGAAUUACAGGUGUGUGCUACCAUGCCGGGCUAAUUUUUUUAAUCUUUAGUAGAGAUGGGGUUUUGCCAUGUUGGCCAGGCUAGUACUGAACUGCUGGCCGCAAGAGAUCCACCUGCCUUUGCCUCCCAAAGUGCUCGGAUUAGACAUGAGCCACCUUGCUGGUCCUGAAUGCGAAUUUUUGAGGCUGGGCCUCAAGUAUCUGUAGGUUAAAAACUGCUCACAAGCUGACUUAAGGGUUUUGGUAUAUCCAAGGACCUUGAGUUUCAGAAAAUAGUUGAUAUUUUUAUGGGGGUAGGGCUAAUAUUCAGUUAGGUUGUCAGAAUAAAAAAUUGCAAAAUGAAAACUACAAUAAGAAUUCAAGAUGUGGCUAGGUGCGGUUGCACACAUAUGUAAUCCCAACACUUUGGGAGACUGAGGCUGGAGGAUUGCUUGAGUCUUGGAGUUCAAGACCAAUCUGGGCAACAUAGUGAGACCCCUGUCUCUACAAAAAGUAAAAAAAUUAGCUGGGUGUGGUGGCACAUACCUAUAGACCCAGCUUCUCAGGGGGCUAAAGUGCAAGGAUCACCUGAGCCCAGGGAGGUCAAGGCUGCAGUGAGCCAUGAUCAUGCCACUGCAUUCUUUUUAUACCAGGACCCUCUAUCGGAAAAUAAAAUAAAAUAAACAUUAAAAAUUCAAGAUGUAAAGAAGUAAAAAUGGAAGACAAAUAUUUCUAAUUGAAGACCAACAGUUUAGUAGCUACAAAAGUCAAAAUUUUAUAUAGAUUUUCUUUUUUCUCUUUUGCCUCAGCAAGCAAUGUGGACAAUUUUAUGAAAAUCCAUCAUCAGAAUUCCAAGGCAUUUUCCUUUCCUUUCCUUUUUUUUUUUGCUGGGCUGGGGGAGAAGGAUAAAAAGAAUGUGGUUUGUGAGGCAAGUUAAACCUCAAGAGUUUUUUCAAACUAAACACUCCCUAGCCAUUUGAUGUCUGGAAGUCUGGAUAUUGGGGGCAGGGAAGUUAGCAGAGCUGUGGCUGUAGGACCAUUUGUCAUUUCCUGGGAGGUGCCUGUGCUUAACCCUUAAGGGAAGCACAUUUGAACACACUGGGCUUUGACCAAGAGGAGGUCCAACCCUCCACUUUUUCUUUUUCAGAUUGGUGUUUUCUUUCCCUACUUCUCAGUAGGAAAGACUGGCUUUCCUUGAGGGAGAAGCAAAUAGCAGCGCCAUUUGGAUGUCAACGAUAUCAGUGCUGUUUAACACCUCUGUGUUUUCACACUUUCUUGUGAUAAUCCAAAAUACAGAAACAGUGUCACAUAUUAUUAAUCAUUUUUAGAUAGGAAUGCAUUCAUACUGUUAUGUUGUGUGUAUUUUCACAAGAAAAUCUUUGUCAAAACUGA